AGACCUCUGAUCAGAAAAGACUACCCGCUGAGUUUAAGCAUAUCACUAAGCGGAGGAGAAGAAACUAACCAG
rnacentral:rRNA from 1 species